rnacentral:rRNA from 1 species
UACGAAGGGGGCUAGCGUUGUUCGGAAUUACUGGGCGUAAAGGGAGCGUAGGCGGAUAGUUUAGUCAGAGGUGAAAGCCCAGGGCUCAACCUUGGAAUUGCCUUUGAUACUGGCUAUCUUGAGUAUGGAAGAGGUAUGUGGAACUCCGAGUGUAGAGGUGAAAUUCGUAGAUAUUCGGAAGAACACCAGUGGCGAAGGCGACAUACUGGUCCAUUACUGACGCUGAGGCUCGAAAGCGUGGGGAGCAACAGG